AUGUCACAACUUAUUCAGAAAAAGUCUUCCUUUAAGUGCAUCAACCAUGUUUUUAAAAAAGGCAAAGAACCACCUCAGGAAUUGUUUUCACCGACCGCUGGACAGCAUAACGGGGAAAGUGACGUGGAAUAUGGGGGCAAAAGGACAGGACAGACUCCCAGGGAAGGAAAGACUCCGCCUGCAGCGACUGCUUCACUCCGCACGGGCCAGCAUCCCUAUCUGGAUCACCUUUUGCUACGGUCCGGUGGAUUCUUGCAAAUGCCAUUAGGAGCACUAGGAGGAGCCAGAGGAACCAGAUUUUUUCACAGAUUAUCUGUCUUGUGUACUACUGUCAGAUAUUGUGAAAGUUUAAGCAAAUAUGACAAAGACACACAAGUAUUGUUAAGUAUAGUAUUGGUUCAAUUUAGAAAUGUAAAAUGUGUGUUUUUAAUUAUUGCAGGUAUUUGUCAUAUAAUUUUUUUGGCAAUAGUUUUCACAGGAUGGCAGUAUGAGACUCUACAAUUGGGAGUAUUAUAUUAA
rnacentral:lncRNA from 1 species